CUAACAUCCUGCUGUCACUUACCUGAGCGCCUGCUCCUCUGCCGACACUCUGAUGACUCUGAUGCACAGCAGAGACUUUGUGUGUGAUGGGAGUCACCUUUGUUGGGAAGCAGGUGACAAAAUGUUCACUGUCAACACACACAGGCGGGUGUAGAUGGCAUCUCCAUUCACUGAGCUGGAGGUGUUGACGAUCAUGUUCUCUCUCCUGGUUUUUGCCCUCUUCACACUUACCGGGAUGAUCAAUGAGGGAUGUGCACACUCCAAUGAAAAUGCACAACCACAGUGUGAGGAGCUGAUCGUCUGACUCCAGAAAGGAGGUUCAUAACCAAGACUGAAAAACCUCUUCGGACCACAUGAGACUUCCUGUUCAGGGCUUUAAGAGGAGCGUGUCAGCCAAAGCCUUGGAAACUGUGUGUGUAUAUGUGUGUUAUCAGUUACCAGAACAAAGUCUAACUGCUGACUGGACAUGUGUAUGUGUGUGUGUACUUUGUUCUAGGAUAUACCAUUCUUUGUCUCCAGGAUGAGGCACAGAGGAGUGGCCUAGAUGGU